rnacentral:lncRNA from 1 species
AGCCUUCUCUUCUGAGAUGUUCUCCAAGCCUUAGGCAUUAUCCACUGGGGCUGGGUACCCCACAGAAAAAGAACUGUGGAUAACAGCCCAAGAUGGUAUUUUGAAGUGAGUAGACACCUGGAGAAUACAGUCUUCCUGCUACCGGGGUGAUGGAUAAACAUCUUCAAUCAAGACAUCCUGAGGAUCCUACGGGUUUAGAUGAAGGAGACUCUCUGGUUGUGUUUGUUUGGAAGGCGACCUCGGUAAGCAUGGAGCUAGAUGUCAACUGACGAGACGCUUCUGAGAGGGACUCAAAACUGCCGACCUUGGGAAUUUGCUUGAGAAGAGAGAAAUUCUUGGCCACAGAGAGAGUGCUGAGAAGACAGGGGAGUGAAAAGAAUGUGUCAACAGAGUGAGCCAAGCCUGGGGGACAUGGCAGAGCACCACAAGAAACCAUUGCUCGGCAAAGGACUCCUCAGAUGAGAGCGUACAAAAUAUGAUCAUCCCUCAUCACCAGGGGUAGCCCUAGGAUCCUUGCCCAGGGUACCACAAUCUUAGAGUGCUCAAGUCCCUUAUAUAAACAGCAAAAUGAAUUAGG